GAUGAACGCUGGCGGCGUGCUUAACACAUGCAAGUCGAACGAUGAAGCCCAGCUUGCUGGGUGGAUUAGUGGCGAACGGGUGAGUAACACGUGAGUAACCUGCCCUUAACUCUGGGAUAAGCCUGUGAAACUGGGUCUAAUACCGGAUAGGAGCGUCCACCGCAUGGUGGGUGUUGGAAAGAUUUAUCGGUUUUGGAUGGACUCGCGGCAUAUCAGCUUGUUGGUGAGGUAAGGGCUCACCAAGGCGAAGCCGGGUAGCCGGCCUGAGAGGGUGACCGGCCACACUGGGACUGAGACACGGCACAGACUCCUACGGGAGGCAGCAGUGGGGAAUAGUGCAAAAUGGGCGCAAGCCUGAUGCAGCGGCGGCGCGUGAGGGAUGACGGCCUUCGGGUUGUAAACCUCUUUCAGUAGGGAAGAAGCGAAAGUGACGGUACCUGCAGAAGAAGCACCGGCUAACUACGUG
rnacentral:rRNA from 1 species